CCUACGGGUGGCAGCAGUGAGGAAUAUUGGUCAAUGGGCGCGAGCCUGAACCAGCCAAGUCGCGUGAGGGAAGAAGGUCCUAUGGAUCGUAAACCUCUUUUGUCGGGGAGCAAAGGCUGCCACGCGUGCCCUUCCGAGUGUACCUGAAGAAAAAGCAUCGGCUAACUCCGUGCCAUCAGCCGCGGUAAUACGGAGGAUGCGAGCGUUAUCCGGAUUUAUUGGGGUUAAAGGGUGCGCAGGCGGAAGGUUAAGUCAGCGGUAAAAGUGAGGGGCUCAACCCCUGCCAGCCGUUGAAACUGGUUUUCUUGAGUGGGUGAGAAGUAUGCGGAAUGCGUGGUGUAGCGGUGAAAUGCAUAGAUAUCGCGCAGAACUCCGAUUGCGAAGGCAGCAUGCCGGCGCUCAACUGACGCUCAGGCACGAAAGUGUGGGUAGCGAACAGGAUUAGAUACCCCUGUAGUC
rnacentral:rRNA from 1 species